rnacentral:tRNA from 1 species
AAUGAAAUGCCUGAAAAAGGAUUAUUUUGAUAGAAUAAAUUAUGUAAAAAUUUAACUUUACUUUCAUUA